UCUCUCUCUCUCUCUCUCUCAGAGCUGUUAGGAUGGCUCUAGUUGCCUCUUUAGACGCAUUACUUUUCCUGCUCAAAAUUUUUCUCCAUGUACGAAUAUGUGGAAUUAGGAGUUGAAGAGAGGUUUCUUUGGGGAAAAAAGUACUAUAGGAAGAUGCAUUCCAUUUAUGAAGUUAUUCAUAAUUUAGUUUUUAUAUCUGACUUUUUAGAAUCAGGGAAGGAGCAUCCCAAUAGCUUUGUCUAGAUCCUGCAUCAAGAACUGGUAAAGGGGACCUGUCUUUAAGAAGGUAAUGGAGUUGCAGAAUUUGUUCAUGCUGAUGGUUUAUAGUGUAUAUCUGGAUUAAAUUUUUAAAACUUGCUCUCUGGUAAUACUUUUCUUUCAAUACUGAGAGAAUUUGAGUUUUCCUUUUUUCUUCAUAAUAGAUAGUUGAUUUUUGUAUAGCAUAUACUAUUUAGUAAUGCUUUUGAUCUUAUUUUAAGCAGUUUCUGGAAGGAGUUUUCGUGUUGAAUAGUUGUCUGAUGUAUUCCUUGCGUUUGUAAAUUUUAUAAAAACCAGUCAGCUCCUCGUUCCCACCGUUAUCUCUAUACUAAGGGGUCAGUUGCCUGAUGCCUUUCUCUACUGCAUUCAUCUGCCAAACCUCUUCUCUCCAUAUCUUCCUUCAUUAUCUCGCCAUCUAAUUCUCUCUCUCUCUGCCUCUUGAUCAUCUUCUAGCAGGUUCUUUCCAAGCCCUCUUCACUCCCUCCUCAGUCUAUACCACCUCAGUCAUGACACUUAUUAAUCUCUGUAAUCUUUACUAAGCCUGCCUUUCUUCUUAUUUCGUCAUUUUCCAAUCUCUCAAGCAGUAAUAUUCCCAUAAUCCACCUCCUCAUUCUCAUCUCUGUUCUCUCAAGCUUUUACUUCUUUUCUUCUUAGAGUCCAUGUUUCCGAUCCAUGCAUUAACUCUGGUCUUAUCACUUGUGUUAUAUGUAUCUUGACUUUUAGCUUGAUUGGCAUUUUCUUGUCACGUAGUCCUCCAGUUAAUACUGGUUGAAUUAAAACUGGAUCUUGAGAAGAGUAAAGGGUACUGUUUAAGUUUAGAAUUUGCUGGUCAUUGAGUGUGGAAAUUGGCCCUGGAAAAAAAGAUAUUAGCUUUCUUGACUACCAUGCAGACAUGGAAGAGUAUGGGCCCUUUGGUUUUUAUGAAAUUUUAGAAGUUAUUCUAGAUUCUUGUUGGAUGAGUGGUUUAUGUGCUUGCCUAACUAUUCAGUAGUCCUGAGUUUGAUUCCCUACUCUGCCAACAUGGAACCAGAGGAAUUUGUUUCUCGUGAUUAGAAAUUAAUUUCUAGAUAUAAUGUGGUUCAAAUCCAACAGUAAGCUGUACGCCCCGUUGCUAAGUAACCAAUUGAUUCCUAGCUACAAAAAUAUUUAAUACUUCAGGAGAGCUGAUAAUCAGCUCAGUGGUCUGGUUAAACUAAGAUAUACUCAACUUAGGAUUUAUUCUUUCAUUUUUAUUACUAAUUUAUUCUCAUAUUAACCCAGUUCUUUGGUGGACAGCACAUACGGUUGUGUACCUUUUUAACAUGUAGCAUGUGGGUACUUUGUAUAAGGGGGAUGGAAUGACUCUCUCUACUUUGGUUUUGUUUAUUAUCAUGUAUGCAUUGUUUUCUUGUAUAAUGUUAAUCAUACUCUUGUUAACAGCAUAUACUUUGCAGUGUUUAGCCAUAAAACUUUGUCUGUUCAUGGGGCAAUUAAAAUAAGUUUGUCAGUGGUAGUAAAAUUUUCUUGAAAUUUUCCAUUUCUGUGAAACUGGAUUGAUUGAGGUGUGUUUUACUAGGUUAUAUGUAAGAUGGAGCCAGUUUGUCACGAGAUGAGCAUUAUUUGAAUGAAAAUUAUUCGUCUGAUAUGUGUAUGGCCAGCUAAUACAUUUCUUUGCUUAGAAAUUGGGUACUUGGAUGUUGAUUGAGUAAGUUUUGAAAUAAGUGAUUUUCUACAGAUUUUGUAGAUCCUGGUUCCUUGGUAUGUAUUUUGCUUUUAUUGGAGUUACUAAAGCCUUUGGCCCCAUCACUUUCAAUGAUCAGGUGGGUUCAAAAAAGAAGCUUCUGCCUUUCUGGAUUCCCAUCUCUUCACAGAUAAUAAUACUGGGGCUAUUGGUGUUUUUAUUCAUCAUUCAAGAUUUUUUUGAAAGUGGUAUCUAUGAUGUUGGUAGAUAACUUUCAUGUAGACCUGGGUAAGCAUUUUACUGUUUUAAAGUAUAUGCAUCUUCAUGAAAUAAGGUGAUUACAAGAUUGAGGUCUUGAGGAAAGAACAUCUUGUUAGAGGUCACCUGUAGUACUCCAAGGAAGAAUUUUCUUUCUUGGGGUAUCAGCCAUUCUCUGAGGUAAUUGGGAAUGGUAUCUUCCAUUGUUUUCUCUUUUUUUAGGAAAGGUUCCAACACACUCAGAUUAUGGUGGAGUGUCAGUACUGGUGGCCAAGCCUUACUAAUAUUUGAAUAGUUUGCAAUGGGUACAAAAUUUACAACUAUGAGAAAUUUAGUAGUGUAUGAGACUGCCGGCUUCAUCUGCAAGCCUUGGACAUCACAGUAAAACAAGCCCGGUACACGUAACUGUUUAGCUGUUUGAAUGAGACAAGCAUGUUAGUUAUCUGGCUAAGAAACACUGAAUGGAUGUGAGGAUUUGUAAACUUGUAUUUCAGGAUUUACUUUGUUUCAGUAACUUCUCACAAGACUUUAGCUUUCUUAGUUUUUGUGACUUCCAGUACAUUAUGUAUAUAAGUUUGUUUGCAAAUUUUAUAAGUAAAUUUUAUGAGUAAAGACAAAAAACAAAGUGGGCGGGAAGCUAGGACAGAUUUUGAUUGGACAAGGGCAACCAGCUUUACAAUUUAAAGUGAAAAAGACAUUACAGAAAGAUAUUGUGACAUUGAAGUUUAUACAAUAAAUAGGCAGAAAGGUUGAAAUUCAUUAAGUGCCCAUAGAGCUCACUGACUGUCCCGAGACCGGGUUGUAUGUAGUUUAAGGCCUUUUAUGAGCUUUACCUUCCUGCCACUUUCAGUCAUAGCAGCUUCAUUUCUUGUUAAUUUUCUUUUGAACGUUGUGCUUCUAGUAUAGUUUAUAAUUUUCUCACAUGGACAUUUACUUAUAUUGAAACUUUCACAGCAGUUUAGUGACCUCCUGGGCUUUGUAAAAUGUUUCAUCAAAAGUCUGCCUUAUAUAUAUAAAAAAAAAAAACAUUGCAACACCUUAAAAGGAACUUAAGUUGUCUCAAUUGCCUUUGAAGUUGUAACAUCUAAUUCCAUCCAGAAUAGUGCGCCUAGGCAUAUUGUUUAGAAGCUUAAUAACUGCAUUACAUGCUCAUGUGCAGAGGAGUUCUUCGUGAUAAUUCUGCAGUGGCUUAGUUUUUGAGUAAGGGACCUAAAUGAUUGUUGUACUGUUCCCUCCUUAACCUUAGACAUUUUUACCUAAGUUCUUCGAUUCCCUUUAUGAUUUCAAAAUGUAACUUGUUUAUUAUUUUGGAUCUUUGCCUUUGUGGUUCUCUUGUAGAGUAUUUUGAAUAGUUUUUUCUUCUUUAUAAUAAGUGAUUACUGCUCCCAGUUAUUCAAGUCACCAACCUUCUGCUGGUAUCUGGCCAAAGUGGGCUUCAUACCUUGCUUGUAAAAGUUGACUGCAGUGAUCUCGAGACUAUCAGUGAGUACAAGCAAAUGAAGUUUUGCUCAACUAGAGAAGGUUUUCAGCACUUAAUCUGAUCUGUCAUGGUACACAUUUUGAUUGUUUCUGAUCUGUCAUGGUACACAUUUUGAUUGUUUCAACAAAUUUUGGAUCUUCUACUAUAUUGUUUAGGUAGAUUCUGAAUAAUGUUCAAUGAACAUUUGUAUUUUGGGUCAGCAAUCAUUGUUUAGAUAUUCCAGAUUUCAUUAGACUUUUUUUGAGAAUAUAAAUUUGUUGAUACGUUGAAUUUAAUGGAAAUGUAGCAUUUAUUGACUCCACACUAAGAGAAAUGAUUAUGUAUUUAGUUUUUUCAUUCAUUUUACCCAGUACCAAGGGUCUUUGCUAGGUGUCCCACCUAAAGUUUAUGAACUGUAACAGGAUAUGUUUAGCUUUGUACCUUUUAUUACCUUUGUUCUCGUUCCUUUUAAGUAAGUAACCUGACAAACAUUUCCAGCUUUUUAGUUGCACCUUUUCCAUGAAGUUUGUCCUUACUCACAUCAAAGUUGUAUGAUUUUCAAGUUUAUUUUUGGUAGUCCUUUGUUUUAAGAUUACAGUAUAGCUAUUUGCAACUUCGAAGCUUGCUGUGGAUAUGAAUAUUUGUUUCUGAACCAGAAUUCUGUAUUUUUUUUUUUUUUUUUUUUUUUUUUUUUUUUUUUUUUUUUUUUUUUUUUUUUUUUUUUUUAUUGAUAUUAAAUUUUAAGCUGAACCAGCUUUUUGGUUUUUAUAUUUACUGUUUUGUUUGCAGAGUGCAAUGCUACCUGAACUGGAUUAGUUUUUUCAUGUUUUCUAUGGGAAUCUUUUUCACAGCUUAUGCAAUAGAGUUUGAACCUAAGUUGACUGUAGAACAAGGAUUUUAGUAUACCAUGUUAAAUACUCAUAUGCUGUAUCCAAUAUUUCUUGCUUUUUUCAGGAAAAUGGUUCAGUUUGUGACUUGAUGGUUAGGGUAGUGGUGCCAAUUUAUUAUUGCCCUUUGUCAUAGACUUUCAUUUUUUGGUGUGUUUUAUUGUUACCUUUUUAUGGAUCAGUAAUGAUAUAUCUUGUUCUUUAUAGGUUUUCCAGUUAUAGGAAAUCCUUAGUUCUAUUUUGUUAUCAGCAAAGAUAAAAGUUAUUCUCUUUCAGGUAAAUAAGUGACAGUGCAUCCAUUUUAUCAAUGUAUUACUCUAUAUUACUAAUUUCACCUAUUAUAUUCCAUGAUUUUUUUAUGUGCUUUAAGUUGUAGUUUUCUGUUUACAUAAUUUGUUUUGUAAAUUAUGAUUAAUUUUCAUCCUCUCUCUCUCUCUCUCUCUCUCUCUCUCUCUCUCUCUCUCUCUCUCUCUCUCUCUCUCUCUCUCUCUCUCUCUCUCCCCAACUACUAUAUAUUAUGAUAGACUUGGACAUUGUGGUUGUAAUUUUUUUUUUCCAAGUGUCACAAACUUUGAUAUUGUUGUCAGUUACAUUAACAUGAUUUUCCCGUGUUUUUCUACGGGAAAAAUGCAUGUCUUACAGUCAUCAAGUUGCAUUAUGACCAACUUAUUUGCAGUUGUAGUGCAUUGCUUAGUUUCUCUUAUUGUGGAAUUUGCAGCAUUGCAAACAAAAUACAAGUCUCAUAGUGGUUUCUCCUCAGCAUUUUUAUCUAAUGUAACGUGUUUGUUUAUAGGAAUAUAUGUAUGUUUCUGUCCAUUGUUGUUUGCUAAUUGAUUCGUGUUUGUCUUUUUGUCUGGUAACUUGUUUGACCUGUGUCUUUAAAUGAUUGAUUGUGGUUUACUUUGAAAAAGAAAGAAUUUUUUAUCUUGGAAUCAUGUGAGAAUAUAAAUUUGAGUUAAAUCUUGUGUACACAAAGAUAGUUACUGUAUUUCUGGGUUUGUAGUUAAAAUUUCCAGGUGUUGAUGAAUUCUUAUUGAGAAGCAAUAGCUUUUGCACAGGUAUUGUGUAAUGAAUUAUAUUGGCUAAAUAAAAGGAGUCUAAAACAUUAUGUAAAAGAUGCUUGAAGGUGGUUUUGAAAUGCUCAAGGUUCAGACCAAGGAAUAUAUCAGGUAAUAAUGUGCAUGAUUAGAACUUUUGUUGGCCAGUGUCAGGACUUGUGGUCAGUUAUGUGUAUCCCAAUAUUACAGAAUCAUUCAUUUGUCAAGCAGGACCAGUGCUUUGUUCCGAUUAGAAAUUAUAGGCACUUUAAUCAAUUACUGAAGUGCCUUUCUUUUGAUACAAGUAUUGCAAGGGUUAUGGGAUACAAUAUUUGAGAUAUUGAUUUAAGAACCAUAAUUGACAUAAAAACAAUUUUGUUUGAGUUACAUGUAAUACUUUCAUGUAAUACUUUGUGUUUAAUUCUAAAAGAAAAAUGAAAUAAAAUCCCUUAAGGAAAAUUUGUCAGAAUCUUAAAUCUCUCAGGUUAUCAAGUUAUUACUUUUAAAUACAUUAUAACUUCAUAAUAUUAAUGUGUAAGUGAAGAGCUGCAAUUAAAUAAGAUUAAAUGAUUAAAUCUAUCAUGAAAAGUAUUUGGGCCAGCUUCCUUCAAUAUAAGAAUUUUAACUUGGUGGUCUGAUUAAGCUUUUUAGUGCUUCAUGAUUUGAGAGGGUGAUGUUAAGUCAAAUAUUGUGAACCAUGUGCAAAUUACCAGACUGCAAAGGACUUGCUAUUUAUUGGUUAUAAAUGAGUUUAGCGAAACCUAAUGAAUCACAUACUCGUAGGACUCUCCAAAAUAUUUUGUUCUUAAAGGGCGGGUGAAUGUCAAGAUGAAGUAUGACAGAUAAGUGGUUUUAGAGACCAAAGGUAAUGGAUGAAAAGCAAAAAGCAGUACAUUUGGAGACACCACAGAACAAUUCAGUACUGCUAGCAGUAUGGCAUGCAAGGCAUACUGUAACUGCCAUUGUGAGGGGUUCAAGGUCAAGCUGAUGCUUGAACUCCUCAAAUUUUUUACAAAAGCCUUUAAUUGCCCUCUGAUUAUAUAGGAACAUUUUAAAAAAUUUUAGUAAAGGAGGUAGAAUUGCUCUUUUGCACAAAUUGCUUUUCUUUUGAAAAUUGCAUUACGAGUUACUGACCUUUUGUUUUGAUCUUUUUAGUAAUUUGAAUAGUUGAAGAGUAAAAUCAUAUCAGCAAAGGUGUCUUUCAGCAGUUUUUGUUCUUCCCUCAUACUUUUGCUAUUUAGCCCUGUGCUAAAUAUGACCUUUGUGUAAUGUUGCUGUUUACUGUUCAGUUUAAAGCAAUUGGCCUUGCUUCUGGCAUUCUUACUCUGUUAAAGGAAGAUUUUUUGUAACAGCUAAACUCACAAGAGCACUUAGAGAUACCUCAAACUGUUCAAGUUAUCUAACUUUUAAUUCACAUAUUUUCCUAUUGUCAAUGAUUUUGAACUGGUAUUUUGUUGCCAUUGAUUUUUGACAAGUACUUGGUGUGUACAUUAUGGAAUGGUUGGUACUUUAUUUGGAACUUUAUUUAGUAUGGGUAAUUUUUACAACAUUGUCUUCUUGAUUGAAUGUUUCAUAUCGUGCUGAUUAAAAAUAUUUUGGAUGUAAAUAUGGAAGGAUGUCUGGUAUUCAUUUUGCAAGGUUGAACUUUUUAAAAAUGUGAUGCAGCGUCAUUCAGUGGAAAAUGGAUAGUUGGUGUUUAAAGUAUACUAUUAGUUUUUUUCAGCUGGUGAAAUGAAGUAUGGCAUUUUUAUAUCUUCCAAAAGUUCGGCACAUCCAAUGUCUUUCUUUGAAACUAAACUCAUUGAUUAUGCUGUAGUAAUUGCAGUUACUAGGCUUAUGGAUUUGUAAUUUAUGGUAAUGCUGCAUUUGGAAGGGAAAACUGAAUGUUGUUACUUACGGUUGCUGUUGAAAAACGUGACUUUCAAGUCUGGAAAUAUUAUAUUCAAAGGCUGUUCUUAACAAUAUUUUAAGAAAAUAGGAUGUGUUGCUGUGUACAACCUAAUCGAAUGAUUUCAAGUGAAGUGAUCUAGCAUGGUCUUGUUACACAGGUGGCUAUUCUAUUUUGAAGUGUUGAAAUGGUAAUUCUCUUGAAGUAUAUGUGCAAUGGAGAGGUGUCAAAAGUGCUCAGUUUGAUCAUAAAAAAACUUGUACAUGGACUUUCUUGUUAACCCUGGCUGAAGCUUGCAGAUUUUGCCCAUAAUACAAAAGAUGCUGAUAAUCAUGUGGCCAACCUUCUGAAGUACUGUGUGAUGUUUCAUCCUUUCCUUGGGCUAAUGAAUGACUUGGGUUUGUGAUUUAUGAGUUCACUUGAUUUAUGGCAGAAAAUUUUGUGACUAUAGGAGUUGGGUAAGUGUCUUUUUGAUGUCUUAUUUGUUUUUGACCUGUGAAGUGAUCCUGAUACUAAGAUUUUAGCACCUCAAGCAUUUUGGGCAUGUCCAGUGUAUUUCGAGCAUCACAAGUUUUCACCUGAAGUCAUUUGGGCACGUCAACUGUGGUGGUGCUUCAGGUCUGUGAACAUGUUAUGGUGUUCGUUCACUUAAGUGGGUGUCGACGGGAUUGGCCAUUAUGCAAUGAUGAGCAAGAUUUAGUUAUUGUAUGGACUACGUAGAAGCAGGCAAUUAACCCUCAAUGAAUCUACACUAGACACUAUGGGGCCCCUUGAGUUUGCUGUGAGGUAUACACUGACCUUGGGAAGAGAAAGAAGCCAAGAAAUAUUUAUUAGAGCAGGAAGGUAAAUGUUGGCCUAAGGGUUUUAAUUUCCCUUAAAUCGACUUUGGAGUCGACUACAAAGUCAAGUGGUUCUACGAGACAUAAGCAGAGCAGAACAGAUCCUGCUCUUAUUCCUCACUGGAAGUUGGGAGUAUAUUCCUUUUAUCUACAAAGACUGAUUUAAUCCAUUAAGUUUGGUCAUUUCAGUAAACUAAUUUUAAUGCACAUCAAAGGUCACUUUUAACAAAAUUUUAAUGCAGUAUAUUAGUAAGUUGACAUUUUAGUAAAUGAAUUUUAAAUGCAUAUCAAAAGGUACUUAAUUAUAGUUUAAUUUUAAUUCUAUUUUGUAGAAAUUGGUCAUUUUAAUCAAUGAAUUUUAAUGCAUAUCAAACUGUUACUGUCAGUUUAAUUUUAAUUAUUUUGUAGUAAUUGGUCAUUUUAAUCAAUGAAUUUUAAUGCAUAUCAAACUGUAAAUGUCAGUAUUUCAAGUUUUAAUUCAUUCAAGCUUAUUAAAUGUCCCCAAACAUAGUUUACAAAUCGUUUAUGUUACUAGUUCCUGGAUCAAAUUAAGAGUAGAUAAACUUUAUUAUUUAACCUGUAAAACUUAAUGGUAGAUAUCUUCAAUUGCAUCCAACACCUGUUUCGCAAGGUCCUUCAGUCAUGAUAUCCUGUUAUAUAUAAUACUAAGACCUAAAGGCACCUUUUGUUUUUAUGUCCAGUCUCCUCCAAUUAUAAUUGAAUGGCUUGAAUGAAGAACAAUGUUUCCUAGGAUUUAAUGAUUGCGUUAAUCAGAGAGGGGACACUAGAACACUAGCAGGAUAAGACAAGAAAAGUACAUGAGCAGCAGCUUCUCUCCUGCAUCUGUAUAAGUAUAGCACAGCAGUUGUGCUAGGACUGACAAGCAAAUUAUUAACUGUAGAAUGACUUGCAUGAUCUAUGCCAUAAUUGCAGUUGGACCAAUUAUCAUCAGUG